GGCGGAGAGAAUGCAGGAAGUGACAUGGGCGAUUCACAAGACGACGGCAAUGAAUAGGGUCGAACUCCUGGUCCACCGGAGUCAUCCUGAGGCUGUUGCAAUGUAGACGUCAAACUUUGAUAGCAAGGUAAGACGAAAUGUUGGUCCCGGAUCCGUGGCGCUACCGUAGCUGUUGUGAGAUUGGCGAGACUGCGAAGGAGAGUAAUAAAGACUCAUUUCAAAUGGAACUUUUUAGCUCGGUACUGACAAAAGGAGUUUUGUAGUCGUCAGGAGUUGGACGACUUGCAACGACAAUUCCAGUCCACAGUCAGAUACCGACUGUUAAAAGAACUCCCUAGACAAGUCGACGUCUUCACUGCCUAAAUCUUAGCUUGAUGCAGUUCUGGCAAGGCGAGAAGAUGGAAGGCGGAGACUUGCGUUCUUUCAGUGCGAGCCGAUUGGCUGUGUUGCUUCACUCCCUUCGCCUUCCAGUUGGCGUUUUUCCUUCCCAAAUCCUGUUGCGGCACCUUUCUUUUAUUUGCUCAGCUGUCCACGCCGCUUCGUCCGAUUCAUCAAUCUUAAUCCAAUUUGAAGUCCCAUAUUUCACUGGUACAUGAUUUGACAACACUGAUCUCUUACCAUUGCAUUUAAAUUGUGCGAGUACAAUUCACAUUGCCGCAAUAUUCAAAGUUCACCCUAAAAUUGACUUUGUAACCCAAACAGUUAUAAAGUUAAAAUUUGAUCCUUGCAAGACUAGACCAUAAAGCCCAAAGGAAAAUGGAGCGUUCUGCUUACUGCAUAGAAUAGUAUACAGUUUGACUUUUACAACAGUGCAGCUUCAACAUUAAAGGAGGGAUACAUUCCAUGGAGGCGCCAGGCUGUCUGCCAGGACCAAGGACCCCCGGAGUUUAGGGUCUACUACCCCCCUUUCUUUUAGGCUAUCCGUUUUCCCGUCACAGUGAAAUUUCUUUUCCAAGCAGAACAACUCGCCAGGAAGAAUUCAGUUUUAUAACUGAUGGUUUGUUAUUGAGUUGCAGUUGUGACUUUUUCCAUCUAACAGCAACCGAAAUAGUCUACUUCAUUAAGGUGUUCUUCAAUAGUUAGUUGUAUUCAGUUUAGCAGUAAGCUUAUUUAUGUAUAAUUAUUUUUUACAGUCAGCCUCUUGAGCAAUCGAUUCAAGACUUCAAAGUGGCGCAAAUUUGUAUUCUGAAUUAAAUUUUCUCUUUUGACCGUAGAUACACUUUUUGCACUGGGCAGAUCGCAAUAGGUGGGAAGAGAAAAAGGGCAAAAGUCGUUUCAUCGUGUCCAACGCCUUCUCCGGUUCGGGUAUCAAUUUACGUUGACAGCCCCCCAUCCUUUUUUUUUUUGUUUUACUAUUUCCCACCUCCAAAGACCCCCCUCUCUACACAUCGACCUCUCUGUCUCACCCUCGGCGCCAAGCAGUCUGGCAGGUUCACAGUAAAAAUCCCCAUUUCCUUCUCUUUAUUUUAUGUGUAUUUUACUACGUUACUGGGGAUGGUCCAGUUGUGAAGCUCUAAUGAAUGGGCGAAGCCUGCUCACACUUGAGCCGUAACUAAAUAGCUUUGCCUUUUCGAUACAGAGAGUAGCAGUGAAGAUGGCAGGUUUCACAUUUCGCACCCCAUUAACCGACAGGAAGUUCAUUCCUUUUUUUUUCCAAGUCUCAGGAAAUCGCUGGAUGCUGGAGUUAUGGAAAUUCAACGUAAAAUCGUGUUAACAGUGAACACACUUUUUUUCAUACGGUCUUAUUCGGGAAACCUGUUUUCGCAAGUGAUGGACGGGCCGUUUCUACUUCCGCCGCUCCAGGAGGCCCUUCUACUCCCACAUCAGUAACGUGAGUCCGUAAAGAGUCUUUGGAUCGAUACACACUAGCUGCAACUUCUCAAUAGUAUUUAUAAAUUGGAAAAUUUCCAGCAGUUACAGUAACAUUAUUCAUCAAGAGAGAGAGAGGUAACGUUGACUAAGAUCGAAAUUCUCAAAAUAGCUUGCACUUUCAGUAAGUCAGUCAGUAGCGAACAGAAAGAAGUAAUAUGAAGUACUUCUUUUAUCUAAUCUAAUCCUUUCAGAAUUGUCCUCGUUAAAUUUUCAGAUUUGUUGUUACCCAAUCAUGCUUCAUUUUCUUUAACAUUUUUUUUUUCAGAAUAUUGGAGGUCUUUAGAAAUUCAAAUGUAGGUGUGUACCGUCCAUUACGAGACCGUCAUUUUUACUCUCCAGAAAUUAUGAAUGAUUAGUUGUUACAAAUCUUGCGCCCAUCUAGAACUUGACUAGCCCUGCCCAAUAUUCUUGGAUCUUGUGUUUGUGAGUAUAAAGAUAUAUCCAUUCGAAGAAUUAGAUUAUGUGGUCAACGCCCGCACAUCGUUAAGUAUUAAACUGCGCUCCAGGUCAGAUGCUAUGAAUCAUAGUUAGCAUAAAACAUCCGAAUGUGAAAAGCUUAGUAGCCUACGGUCGUGUUGGUUAUCAGUUAAUUCGGGUAGCCAUUCAUUACGGAUGAACGUUUUAAAGCCCCCCUUUUUUAAAUUUCAAUUUACAGUGGAAUAAAAUCUUUUUGCCGUAAUUUUAAAAGAAAAAUAAUAGAAAAAUGUAUCGUUUGAGACUUGAUUUAUUGAUCUACGUUUGAGCUCUUGUUUUUUUAACUUAUCCGUAGCGGCGUGAGGUUUGGGGGCACUAGAGUAUGGCUAGGUUGUGUUGAUACAGUCAACGAUGACGAUCCCCAUUAAGAAAGAUGGUCAAUAAUGUAGUUGAUGUCUGCAGUCAGAAAUCACCGAAAGGCAAAACAACAACAAGGGCAUCAGUAGAGAAGAGAAACAUAGGGAGCAGGAUAUGCGGCGUCCAGAACGAUGGCAAUUUUGAUGAGUUUUGCAGGACCACGGACUUCUUUUUGCCUCCUUGUUUCUCAUAGUAGUAAGGGCUUGGAAUGACGAAGCACCACCUGGCAGAGCCAUCAAGAAUAUUUGAAAGGAGCGCCCACAUUGGGGUUUGAGAACGGCUAAGCAAAACAUUAGACUCAAUCCAGAAGCUCAGUAAGCCAAACAGUGAUUUUUCACUCCCGCUCCUUUUCCUUCCCCCCACAUUAGACCAUCACCAUAGUUGGCCCAUCGACACUCAACACAAUAAAACAACAAACAAAAUACCGUACUAAGGACUUCUGUAGUCUAGGCUAAUCACGAAACGCGAUCGUGUAAUAUUGCAGUUUUCGCUAACUAAUAAAGAGAGUAACCUUUUUGUGAGUUUUAUCACGAUAAGAACCUUCUCAUCUUACCACUUUCACAUUAUACUGUGAGAAAGUUUGUCUCUCGGACAAAUUAGUCGAAUUUCAACACGCAUACCGAGUAAUGCUCACACGAGAAAAUACCCACCCCUCUGAUCAUUAACGUUCUUUUCCCAGAUAGUUUUAUUCCUCACUUCACUUUUCUCCUUCAACUUGUUGUCGACUACGUAUUCUCACAUGUCAGAAAAUAUGUUUCUUAACGAGCGUGGGGAUUUUUUGUUGACAAUUUCUUACCAGAAUAAAAUAAGUCAAUUUACUUUA